rnacentral:rRNA from 1 species
CCUACGGGAGGCAGCAGUGAGGAAUCUUGGUCAAUGGGAGAGAUCCUGAACCAGCCAAGCCGCGUGAGGGAAGACGGCUCUAUGGGUUGUAAACCUCUUUUGUCGGAGAACAAAACCCGGGACGUGUCCCGGACUGCGUGUAUCCGAAGAAAAAGCAUCGGCUAACUCCGUGCCAUCAGCGGCGGUAAUACGGGGGAUGCGAGCGUUAUCCGGAUUGAUUGGGGUUAAUGGGUGCGUAGGCGGUCCGUUAAGUCAGCGGUAAAGUUGCGGGGCUAAACCGCGACGAGCCGUUGAAACUGGCAGACUUGAGUUGGCGAGAGGUACGCGGAAUGCGCGGUGUAGCGGUGAAAUGCAUAGAUAUCGCGAAGAACUCCGAUUGCGAAGGCAGCGUACUGGCGCCAGACUGACGCUGAGGCACGAAAGCGUGGGGAUCGAACAGGAUUAGAUACCCUUGUAGUC